rnacentral:rRNA from 1 species
UACGGGGGGGGCAAGCGUUGUUCGGAAUUACUGGGCGUAAAGGGCUCGUAGGUGGCCAACUAAGUCAGACGUGAAAUCCCUCGGCUUAGCCGGGGAACUGCGUCUGAUACUGGAUGGCUUGAGUUCGGGAGAGGGAUGCGGAAUUCCAGGUGUAGCGGUGAAAUGCGUAGAUAUCUGGAGGAACACCGGUGGCGAAGGCGGCAUCCUGGACCGACACUGACGCUGAGGAGCGAAAGCCAGGGGAGCAAACGGG